rnacentral:rRNA from 1 species
UACAGAGGGGGCAAGCGUUGUUCGGAAUUACUGGGCGUAAAGGGCGCGUAGGCGGCCGCCUAAGUCAGACGUGAAAUCCCUCGGCUCAACCGGGGAACUGCGUCUGAUACUGGGUGGCUUGAAUCCGGGAGAGGGAUGCGGAAUUCCAGGUGUAGCGGUGAAAUGCGUAGAUAUGUGGAGGAACACCAGUGGCGAAGGCGACUCUCUGGGCUGUAACUGACGCUGAGGCGCGAAAGCGUGGGGAGCAAACAGG